rnacentral:rRNA from 1 species
GAUGAACGCUGGCGGCGUGCCUAAUGCAUGCAAGUCGAGCGAACGGACGAGAAGCUUGCUUCUCUGAUGUUAGCGGCGGACGGGUGAGUAACUCGUGGAUAACCUACCUAUAAGACUGGGAUAACUUCGGGAAACCGGAGCUAAUACCGGAUGAUAUUUUGAACCGCAUGGUUCAAAAGUGAAAGACGGUCUUGCUGUCACUUAUAGAUGGAUCCGCGCUGCAUUAGCUAGUUGGUAAGGUAACGGCUUACCAAGGCAACGAUGCAUAGCCGACCUGAGAGGGUGAUCGGCCACACUGGAACUGAGACACGGUCCAGACUCCUACGGGAGGCAGCAGUAGGGAAUCUUCCGCAAUGGGCGAAAGCCUGACGGAGCAACGCCGCGUGAGUGAUGAAGGUCUUCGGAUCGUAAAACUCUGUUAUUAGGGAAGAACAUAUGUGUAAGUAACUGUGCACAUCUUGACGGUACCUAAUCAGAAAGCCACGGCUAACUACGUG